ensembl:lncRNA
AAAUGUUCCAUGCUGCCCUAUGGCAAAACGUCAAAGGAAAGGGAAGGAUGGCCAAGCUUAAGCAACUCAGGUAAGAAUUAACUCCACGGUAAUAUCUGAUAAUUAAGAAUGUCUCUAUCAGCUCGUCUCGCUAUUAAUGAAUUGGGCUGCUCUUUUCACGUUUGAUUGCUGGCGCUUUAUGACUGCCAUUUCACCCUUAAUGCUCCUGGAAAUGGGCUUUCCUGUCUGGGGAGGGAGCGCCAGGAAUAAUGGUUGGGGAUUUAUAAACAGGUCCUAUUCUCUCCCCAGUAAAACUGCUGUUCUUUUCAUCCAGUGGGGCCACAUGUGUGUCCUCCCCAGCGCUCCCAGCUCACCCCACACCUCCUUCCCCUCGGAGCAGGGCUGGGAAGGGAGCAGGAGGUUCCCCCCGUGACUAUGGGCUGUGGAACGUGAGUUCUCUGCCCUGCAGCCUGUUUAAAACAAAGCCAGGUUCAUGGAUACCACCUGAAAAGCGCACUCACACUGUGAUGGCUUUGCUCCUUUGCUCUGCUCAGCCUCAGGAGGAGCUGCAGGAUCUGCUGUGCUCCCAGCACUGGAGGCAUCGCAACCCCACGGUGUAUCCAAGCAAUCAAUGUCUUCCAUUGACUCCUUCAGUGGAGAGAAUUCUUCCCGCUGUGCUCCACUCCCAGCUUCAUUGCAGUGGGAACCCACCAUCUCUGUGGGCUCAGCAUAAAGGCAUGGCCUGGGGCUGUACAGGGCUGUAUGGGCUGGGUCACAGACCUUGUGCUUUGCUUGUACUCAUACACACUGCAUUGUGGCCUUCAACAAGCGUGGGUCAGAGGGCCAUCACCCUGCCCAGGAGGGAGGUGGCUGAAGGCCAUGCACACAGCAGAAGUAAAGCAAGCAGAAGAUCAAGCCCCAGAAAUGGUCAAAUCCACUCCGGGAGAGAAAUCAAAGGAUGCACAGUGCUCUCCCUGCCUGCAGAGACUCCCAGCUCUGUGCUGAUUGCAGGCAUCACCCGAAGCCCUCAUUCAUGCAAACCAUCCAUCAGCUGAUGGGGGGUCUGCACAGAGCUCACCCCCCAGCCCCACACCUCUGGAGCACCACAAAAUCCUUCUUCAUCUACAGCUGAGCAGCGUGGAGGCAGCUGGUGGAAGGAACUAAAUUUAAACAAGACUUUGGAG